rnacentral:lncRNA from 1 species
CGGUCCGGGAUGCCUUCUGCCGGCUGCACCGAGGCCGCGCGCUCCCGGCGGCGCGGCCCAAACUUUGCCCACCGCCUUCUCUGCGCUCGCUGCGUUUCGUUGCCUGCUGCGUCUUUGGGGAUUCUCUGCUCACCCGGACCUCUCAGAGCCACCUAGUCAGCCCGGCUCUGUGCGCCACCUCUCCUAACCUGGUCCUCGAACGCCGGUGCUUCCACCUUUCCGCUGCGCCCUGCCCUCUCCUCGUCCCCGCCACUUUUUGCUAGUUUUCUGAAGCCCUCCGCGCAAACUCUGCCGAGUCUACCAAACUCUCCAGACCCUGCCCGGGGCGACAGUGGGCGGCACAGUGGACCGGACAGUGGGUAGAUUCCUACUUCCAUGUUAACUUCUCCAAAGCCACUUGGGUGUUUCCGUGCCUCAGGGAAAAACGGGAGAAAAAGUCUUUUUACUAAAAGGUUCCAAUUCAGUCUGGACGCUAAGAUUGUGACCGCUGGAGGAUGCCUGCGCUCAGAUUUGCACAGCUCUGCAUAGGAAGUCGUCUUCCAGCGCCUCAGCCCGCCCUCUUGCAGCUCCUUCCACUCCUCCGCACAUUGGCCCCUCAGGCCACUCAGUCCCAGCUGACUGGGGUCAAUUGGGUGUGUACAGACCAAACCUCCAGAAAAUUGUUCCCGGUUUCCUAAUCUAGAACUGGCUUUUCUCUGUGACUUUUAACAAGAGACUGAACCUGGACACUGAUGGGCACUUGUUUCUUUUUUUUUUUUUGGUACCAGAGAUUGAACUUGGCCUUGCGCUUGCAAGGCAGGCCACCGAACCGCUGAGCUAAAUCCCCAUCCACUUGUUUCUUUAUCUCAGCCUCCUAGAACCCUGAAAUUCAUCUGCUGAGAAUAUGUCCUUCUCUUUCCGGAAUUUUUUUUUUAAUGGGAUGAGAUUCAGGCAGUGGCUAUGAUUUCUACCUCCCUACCUCUCUGUCUCCCUUUUUUUGUUGUUGUUAGGAAGACCUGGGGCUGGGGAUGUAGCUUGGUAGUACAGCAUACUGGGUUUGAUUGCCAGCAAUAAAAUAAAAAUACAGAAG